AGCUCAAGGAGUAUAUUGAUGACACCGAAGAUCUGAUCAACAUUAAACUUGGUAAUGUCCAGAAUAAGCUGAUUAAGUUCGAGCUGCUUUUGACGGCGGCUACUUUUUUGGCAACCGUAUUCGCAGUAGUGACAACUGUAUUCGGAAUGAACUUUGAAGAUGAAGUUUUCGAUGAACC